GACGAACGCUGGCGGCGUGCUUAACACAUGCAAGUCGAGCGGAGCGGCGAACGGGUGAGUCACGCGUGAGUAACUGCCCCCCUCUCUGGGAUAACAGUUGGAAACGGCUGCUAAUCACGGAUAGUGGGGGAUGACUCGCGUCCUAUCAGCUUGUUGGUGGGGUAGUGGCCUACCAAGGCGACGACGGGUAGCCGGCCUGAGAGGCCGACCGGCCACGUUGGGCUGAGAUACGGCCCAGAUGCCUACGGGAGGCAGCAGUGGGGGAUAUGGAAGAAUGGGCGAAAGCCUGAUGCAGCGAGGCCGCGUGGGGGAUGAAGGCUUUCGGGUUGUAAACCUCUUUCGCUAUCGAAAGGGUAGGUGGAGAAGAAGCGCCGGCUAACUACGUGCCAGCCGCCGCGGUAAUAC
rnacentral:rRNA from 1 species